AGUUUUGGUCCUAAACUUGCCCUUAUUUUUUAUCAAAAUUAUACAUGCAAGCCUCCACACGCCAGUGAGAAUGCCCAAAUUCCCCUAAACAGACAAUUGGAGCAGGUAUCAGGAUACAACACCCGUUUUAGCCAAAGACGCCUUGCGCAUGCCACACCCACACGGGCCUACAGCAGUAAUUAACAUUAAAACAUGAGCGAAAGCUCGACUUAGUUAUGAUAAACAUGGUCGGUAAAUUUCGUGCCAGCCACCGCGGUUAUACGAAAGACCAGAAAUAACGGCCUGCGGCGUAAAGCGUGACUAGAGACAUAAAACUAUUAAAGGAGAACAACAGCCAAGUUGUAAAAUACUACUGCACGUUAGAACCACAACAAAAAAGCCUUUAAACCACUUCACCUCACGAAAGCUAAGAAACAAACUGGGAUUAGAUACCCCACUAUGCUUAGCCCUAAACACAGAUGGUAUAAACACAACACCCUCCGCCAGAGGACUACAAGCGAAAAGCUUGAAACUCUAAGGACUUGGCGGUGCUUCAAAUCAACCUAGAGGAGCCUGUCCUAUAAUCGAUACCCCACGUUUUACCUCACCUCUUCUAGCCAACCAGCCUAUAUACCGCCGUCGCCAGCCUACCCUAUGAAAGUAGCAAAGUGGGCAAAAAAGUUUUUUACUAACACGUCAGGUCAAGGUGUAGCACACGAAGAGGAAGAGAUGGGCUACAUUUUUUUAAAGAAAAAAUACGAAUAGUGUACUGAAACCCACACUUGAAGGCGGAUUUAGUAGUAAAAUAAACAAGAAUAUUUAUCUUAAACCUGCUCUGAAGCGCGCACACACCGCCCGUCACCCUCAUCACCUAUCAUACAACACAA
rnacentral:ncRNA from 1 species